CUCCUCCUGGUCAGGUGGCCUUACUACAUUCAGGAUUCAAAACUAUCCCAGACAACUCCUCCUGGGCAGCUGCGGAGCAGCCAAGGGGAGAAGCGCAGUGUACACGUGGGGGAGAAUGGCAAAGGUGGCUGAGUCACAACAAGACAAGGAACACAUCCUAUAAUGAAGAAUGUGAAAGUCAGUAUAAUAAGAUAAUCGUCUUCUCAUGAAAGAAAAACCAAAUACUGCUUGGCUGAAUACCAGGAUGCAACUAAGAAGAUGAAACAUAGAGUUUUUAUAAGGCUGGUACUUGAAUCAUCCUGAGUGCCUUGCAGCUAUGAAGGACUAUUACCACAAGCUCAGAAGUGAUGCAGAGACAGUCAGUCCAGAUCAAG